rnacentral:rRNA from 1 species
CACGUAGGGUGCGAGCGUUGUCCGGAAUUAUUGGGCGUAAAGAGCUCGUAGGCGGUGUGUCGCGUCGGCCGUGAAACCUGCAGCUUAACUGUGGGCGUGCGGUCGAUACGGGCAUCACUGGAGUUCGGCAGGGGAGACUGGAAUUCCUGGUGUAGCGGUGAAAUGCGCAGAUAUCAGGAGGAACACCGGUGGCGAAGGCGGGUCUCUGGGCCGAUACUGACGCUGAGGAGCGAAAGCGUGGGGAGCGAACAGG